rnacentral:rRNA from 1 species
GAUGAACGCUGGCGGCGUGCCUAAUACAUGCAAGUCGAGCGAACGGACGAGAAGCUUGCUUCUCUGAUGUUAGCGGCGGACGGGUGAGUAACACGUGGAUAACCUACCUAUAAGACUGGGAUAACUUCGGGAAACCGGAGCUAAUACCGGAUAAUAUUUUGAACCGCAUGGUUCAAAAGUAAAAGACGGUCUUGCUGUCACUUAUAGAUGGAUCCGCGCUGCAUUAGCUAGUUGGUAAGGUAACGGCUUACCAAGGCAACGAUGCGUAGCCGACCUGAGAGGGUGAUCGGCCACACUGGAACUGAGACACGGUCCAGACUACUACGGGAGGCAGCAGUAGGGAAUCUUCCGCAAUGGGCGAAAGCCUGACGGAGCAACGCCGCGUGAGUGAUGAAGGUCUUCGGAUCGUAAAACUCUGUUAUUAGGGAAGAACAUAUGUGUAAGUAACUGUGCACAUCUUGACGGUACCUAAUCAGAAAGCCACGGCUAACUACGUG